ensembl:lncRNA
UGGGAUUGAUGGUGUCGGGGACCCCAGUGAUGCUUCUGUCUGUUUUGCAGUUUCUGGCUUGAAGAGCACCCAAAUUCAAAGCUUGUUUUCAGAGGAUGGCCCUCAGAGAGAGUUGCCAGAGUCCCUGUCUCUGGAGGGAGCUCACUUGAACGUCCCCCACCCCAGGGCUGGAGAAACCUGGGCAGCUUCUAAUGCCGAAGGAAGGACCGCUCCGUCCCAUUCGUACUUGGUCUAUGGGCUUCCUUGGUGGCUCCGAUGGUAAAGAAUCUGCCUGCCAAGCAGGAGACUCGAGUUCGAUCCCUGGGUUGGGAAGAUCCCCUGGCGAAGAGAAAUGGCAACUGACUCCAGUAUUCUUGCCUGGAGAAUCCCAUGGACAGAGGAGCCUGGCAGGCUACAGUCCAGGGGGUCACAAAUG